rnacentral:RNase_P_RNA from 1 species
GGAGGAAAUGAGGGGAUGCCCUAAUGGGAGGAAAGUCCGGGCUUUCACGAGCCAGCACACCUCGUAACACGAGGGUCCCGAAAGGGAACGGAAAGUGCCACAGAAACUAUACCGUCCCGACUUAUUGGGAUAAGGGUGAAAUGGAAGGAAUGUAAGAGUUCCUUUCGCUCGCUGGAGACAGCGAGUCGUGGCAAACCCUGUGCGAAAGCAAGGUCGAAUAGAGAAUGGCUGGCUAUGCUAUAUUCUCUGGUGGACCGCGAAGACCUUUAGGGUGACCUACAAGGCAAGAUAAAUAUCCCCGGCUCGAUGCUAUCGAUUGUUAAAUAAAUUAUUAGAUGUGGAAUUAAAUUCCGAUUGAAAAACAGACAUCGAGCAACAGAACCCGGCUUAUGAUUUUCCUCCUUCG